rnacentral:misc_RNA from 1 species
GGCCUUUCUCGGCUGCACACUGAACCGGCUGACCCUGCUGUCGGCGGGCAAUGAUCCGAGGAUGGCCGAACUGUUCGCGCGCGCCGAACUGAAACGCGACACCUGCAACGCAAUGACGGCCACUGCUUCCGCAAANCGCGAACUGGAUCCUCUCCGGCGACGCUCCGCAAUUACGCGGCCCGCUCACACAGGAUUGAGACGAUCAAUCGGAAACAUUGCCUCUCGGGAAUUUUGAAAUGUCCUUCGAUCACAACCAUAUCUCGACCUUCGGCACCUACGCCGGGAAGAUGGUACGCUAUUCCUUCUAC